rnacentral:rRNA from 1 species
CCCUUAGAUGUUCUGGGCGGCCCGCGCACUACAUUGGCACUCUCAAUAAGUUCCUAGAUCUAAAACUUUGGGGUAUUCUAUUAAGUGGUGUCGUGACUGGGAUUAACCCUUGCAAUUAUUGGUUACGAACGAGGAAUUCCUUGUAAUCGCGGUUUAUCAGCCCGCGUUGAAUGCGUCCCUGCCCUUUGUACACACCGCCCGUCGCUCCUACCGAUGAAUCGUCCGGUGAAUAAUUCGGACUGACGCAGUGCUCAGCUUCUGGACGUUGCGUCGGAAAGUUUCAUGAACCUUAUCACUUAGAGGAAGGAGAAGUCGUAACA